GCCGCCGAUCUUGAGCAAAUCAUCCCAAGAGCUGAGGAGAGUUCGAUAGAAAACCAGAGUACUGUGCGACAAGAAGACUCCAACUCUACGGAUUAUCCCUGGCAAACAGAGUUACAGAUAACUCAUGACCGCAGAAAAAUAAACGACAUUCUAGAACGUAGAGGUUCAGAGAUUCGAAAUAUCUACGCGAGGAGCCAGAAUUCAGUAGAGGACUGCCACCUCCUCGAGAGAGAAUGGUUAGCCUUGGUAACAGAAAAAGAUAAGAACCUUCGCCAAUAAAUUGAAGAGGAGAAUGAACUGGCCAAGAGAAAUCAGAUCAAGAAACUUCAUCAGGUUCUUGAAUCCCUGGGAACAUUCACCUUCAGCAGACCAAAUGAAGCCAUUUUGAAGCGAAAUCUGGCAAAGAUGUACCAUCAAAUCGGCAAAUACUGCAGCAGGAAUCAGAUAGAUGUGACAAUGAAAGGCAACAACAAUACUGUUAAGACCUCAGAAAGUCCCAAUGAAAACAUUCAUGCUCCCCCACCACCGCCCCAAACACUGAUACCCCCUCCCCCACCCCUUCCACCUCUGACCCCCCUUACAAGUUUCAAAGCUGCAUCUCAAAAUAAUGCUAGAAACCCUUCAAGAAAGAGAGGUGCUUUGACUACAAAAAACAACCCAACUACCCCAUGUGACCAAAGAAAUGAGGAACUUCUUAAGAGGAUAAGGGGGGGUUGUAGAUCAGAGCUAAGGAGAACACCCUUUAAGCGUUCCCCUGGUGGUACGCCAUUUAAAAGGCAGAGGCGAGUAUCAGAUAGUGAUGGCUCUUAUUUGAUAACAGUGGCAUUGAAGAAAAAAUUUCAAAAUGUAACUUUCCAAAGCCCCAGAGAAAAUGACUCUCUAAGAUCUUUUACUUCUUUUGAAGACUUGCAACAAAAUUAAAUCAAUGUGUAUGAAAAACAAUUUCAAGUUUUUGAAUGUGAAAUUCCAAGAGCAAACAUUUUAUUACAAUUAUCAUUUAAAGUUGACAUGAUGCCUAUAGAGAGAUACCCAAAAAAAAAAAUUGUAUCAGAUCAUAGUUGGAAUGUUUAGGAAGUUAACAUGAAACAAUUUUUACAAAUUCAUCUUUUGUUUGUGAUAUUACAUGUUUCUCAGUCCUGAUCUGGA